rnacentral:lncRNA from 7 species
CAGAUAGGAAGAACAGGCCUGGAGAUUGAAUGAGUUGGCCAGGGUUACACGCACAUACUAAGACAGAUGCAAAGCCACAGUUACAAGUGGAGUACCUUGCUGACAGCUUUCUAAGGAGUCUGGGCAGUCAUCUUGUUGACACUCGGAGUUACAGAGGAGGAUGAGAGUGGAGAUGCCACAAAAAGCAGCUUUUGAGAGAGGAAGACAUACAAGCCAGAGGCCCGGAAAGCACACGGACUCAUUGUGGAGCACAGCUUCCAGCUGUGCCAUCCCUACAGGUGUCUGUGAAUCGCGCUGGAUGUCCACCUGCACCUUCAGUUCAGGCACAUAUUGUAUUUUUUGUCUGCAGUCAUGAGCCUGAAGCAAAGAGGCCCAUAAAACAAAACAAAACAAAAACACAUAUUCUGAAAGAGCCUACACCGUGGAGGUUUUAACGGAAGAAGCUACUGCCAACCUGACUGAGCUGCAGCUGCAGUAGGAAGGGAACGCGAGAAACAGGCAUUAUAUCUGCAAUUCCUUCAAAAUAGUGGUGCAGUACCUAAACAAAAUCAUUUUGGAGUUCAAUCGUAGCGUACACAGUACGGCCCCCGUUCACAGAAGAUAUCAAAUACAGAUGCAUUUUUAAGAGGAGCUAACUAUUUUCUACCGAGACAUCGUAUGGGAGAAAAACAAAACAAAGCAACCCUGUGUUUUGAGCAGCGCUGGCCGGAGUUUCUCCAACAGCACCUUCAUCCACAACGCUCACACUUAGCAGUUCAAUGCUUAAAAGCACACCGUCACGCUUACCCUACCUAUCGUCUGUUCUCCCUUUCCAUCUUGUUUUACGCAGCUGACCUUCAGCACGCACAGUUUUGUAAACAAAGUCUUCCACCUAAACAAAAAAAUCCUCACAGACACUGAAAUAUUAUUAGAGGAGAACAAUAAAGCCACAUUUGCCCACUGUCUGAAAUUGUGCAGUGCGUGGAUCUCAUUAUGCAGAUGCACGGCUGGAUGAAGAGAAUAUAAAUGCGAACCGUUUUCGUUUUUCUAUCAUAGACAAACCAGCAGCUGGUUUGUGGCGCUGUCAGAAAUGGCAACCAGUGCGCCAUUCUCCAGCAGGUUGAUCAUUAGCAAAAUUACCUUGCUAUAAACGGUGCUCUUUUGUGAAUGGAGGCCUGUAUUUUCAACUUAUUCCAAUAAACCAAAGGCAUUACGGU